rnacentral:rRNA from 1 species
GGGUUGUGAGGUUAAGCGACUAAGCGUACACUGUGGAUGCCCCGGCAGUCAGAGGCGAUGAAGGACGUGCUAAUCUGCGAUAAGCGUCGGUAAGGUGAUAUGAACCGUUAUAACCGGCGAUUUCCGAAUGGGGAAACCCAGUGUGAUUCGUCACACUAUCAUUAACUGAAUCCAUAGGUUAAUGAGGCGAACCGGGGGAACUGAAACAUCUAAGUACCCCGAGGAAAAGAAAUCAACCGAGAUUCCCCCAGUAGCGGCGAGCGAACGGGGAGCAGCCCAGAGCCUGAAUCAGUGUGUGUGUUAGUGGAAGCGUCUGGAAAGGCGCGCGAUACAGGGUGACAGCCCCGUACACAAAAAUGCACAUGCUGUGAGCUCGAUGAGUAGGGCGGGACACGUGGUAUCCUGUCUGAAUAUGGGGGGACCAUCCUCCAAGGCUAAAUACUCCUGACUGACCGAUAGUGAACCAGUACCGUGAGGGAAAGGCGAAAAGAACCCCGGCGAGGGGAGUGAAAAAGAACCUGAAACCGUGUACGUACAAGCAGUGGGAGCACGCUUAGGCGUGUGACUGCGUACCUUUUGUAUAAUGGGUCAGCGACUUAUAUUCUGUAGCAAGGUUAACCGAAUAGGGGAGCCGAAGGGAAACCGAGUCUUAACUGGGCGUUAAGUUGCAGGGUAUAGACCCGAAACCCGGUGAUCUAGCCAUGGGCAGGUUGAAGGUUGGGUAACACUAACUGGAGGACCGAACCGACUAAUGUUGAAAAAUUAGCGGAUGACUUGUGGCUGGGGGUGAAAGGCCAAUCAAACCGGGAGAUAGCUGGUUCUCCCCGAAAGCUAUUUAGGUAGCGCCUCGUGAAUUCAUCUCCGGGGGUAGAGCACUGUUUCGGCAAGGGGGUCAUCCCGACUUACCAACCCGAUGCAAACUGCGAAUACCGGAGAAUGUUAUCACGGGAGACACACGGCGGGUGCUAACGUCCGUCGUGAAGAGGGAAACAACCCAGACCGCCAGCUAAGGUCCCAAAGUCAUGGUUAAGUGGGAAACGAUGUGGGAAGGCCCAGACAGCCAGGAUGUUGGCUUAGAAGCAGCCAUCAUUUAAAGAAAGCGUAAUAGCUCACUGGUCGAGUCGGCCUGCGCGGAAGAUGUAACGGGGCUAAACCAUGCACCGAAGCUGCGGCAGCGACACUAUGUGUUGUUGGGUAGGGGAGCGUUCUGUAAGCCUGUGAAGGUGUACUGUGAGGUAUGCUGGAGGUAUCAGAAGUGCGAAUGCUGACAUAAGUAACGAUAAAGCGGGUGAAAAGCCCGCUCGCCGGAAGACCAAGGGUUCCUGUCCAACGUUAAUCGGGGCAGGGUGAGUCGACCCCUAAGGCGAGGCCGAAAGGCGUAGUCGAUGGGAAACAGGUUAAUAUUCCUGUACUUGGUGUUACUGCGAAGGGGGGACGGAGAAGGCUAUGUUGGUAGGGCGACGGUUGUCCCGGUUUAAGCGUGUAGGCUGGUUUUCCAGGCAAAUCCGGAAAAUCAAGGCUGAGGCGUGAUGACGAGGCACUACGGUGCUGAAGCAACAAAUGCCCUGCUUCCGGGAAAAGCCUCUAAGCAUCAGGUAACAUCAAAUCGUACCCCAAACCGACACAGGUGGUCAGGUAGAGAAUACCAAGGCGCUUGAGAGAACUCGGGUGAAGGAACUAGGCAAAAUGGUGCCGUAACUUCGGGAGAAGGCACGCUGAUAUGUAGGUGAAGUCCCUCGCGGAUGGAGCUGAAAUCAGUCGAAGAUACCAGCUGGCUGCAACUGUUUAUUAAAAACACAGCACUGUGCAAACACGAAAGUGGACGUAUACGGUGUGACGCCUGCCCGGUGCCGGAAGGUUAAUUGAUGGGGUUAGCGCAAGCGAAGCUCUUGAUCGAAGCCCCGGUAAACGGCGGUACCGUAACUAUAACGGUCCUAAGGUAGCGAAAUUCCUUGUCGGGUAAGUUCCGACCUGCACGAAUGGCGUAAUGAUGGCGGGCUGUCUCCACCCGAGACUCAGUGAAAUUGAACUCGCUGUGAAGAUGCAGUGUACCCGCGGCAAGACGGAAAGACCCCGUGAACCUUUACUAUAGCUUGACACUGAACAUUGAGCCUUGAUGUGUAGGAUAGGUGGGAGGCUUUGAAGUGUGGACGCCAGUCUGCAUGGAGCCGACCUUGAAAUACCACCCUUUAAUGUUUGAUGUUCUAACGUUGACCCGUAAUCCGGGUUGCGGACAGUGUCUGGUGGGUAGUUUGACUGGGGCGGUCUCCUCCUAAAGAGUAACGGAGGAGCACGAAGGUUGGCUAAUCCUGGUCGGACAUCAGGAGGUUAGUGCAAUGGCAUAAGCCAGCUUGACUGCGAGCGUGACGGCGCGAGCAGGUGCGAAAGCAGGUCAUAGUGAUCCGGUGGUUCUGAAUGGAAGGGCCAUCGCUCAACGGAUAAAAGGUACUCCGGGGAUAACAGGCUGAUACCGCCCAAGAGUUCAUAUCGACGGCGGUGUUUGGCACCUCGAUGUCGGCUCAUCACAUCCUGGGGCUGAAGUAGGUCCCAAGGGUAUGGCUGUUCGCCAUUUAAAGUGGUACGCGAGCUGGGUUUAGAACGUCGUGAGACAGUUCGGUCCCUAUCUGCCGUGGGCGCUGGAGAACUGAGGGGGGCUGCUCCUAGUACGAGAGGACCGGAGUGGACGCAUCACUGGUGUUCGGGUUGUCAUGCCAAUGGCACUGCCCGGUAGCUAAAUGCGGAAGAGAUAAGUGCUGAAAGCAUCUAAGCACGAAACUUGCCCCGAGAUGAGUUCUCCCUGACUCCUUGAGAGUCCUGAAGGAACGUUGAAGACGACGACGUUGAUAGGCCGGGUGUGUAAGCGCAGCGAUGCGUUGAGCUAACCGGUACUAAUGAACCGUGAGGCUUAACCUUACAACGCCGAAGGUGUUU